GCUGCUGCUGAAAAGGCCAGCCGGGCUGGAGAGACCUGGCAUUGGCGCAUCUGGGAACCGACGUCCGUGCGCGGCUGGCUAGAAUGCUGGACUCGCCUCCGCAGCGCUGGCCUGCAGGGAUUAGAAGACAUGUGGGGUCAAGGAACAGGAAGCUGACCUGGAUGGAAGUUGAACAGUGAUCUUUGCUCUCUGCCUGGCUCCUGAGUCCUCUGCCAUGUUCCUGGAGAAGAGGAGCCAGCCAGGUCUUCAUUCAAACCAAACCUUGGAUGGGAUCCAUCUGCCUCUGCAGGUGACCGUAACAACAUGCAAAUGGUGAGUUCUGCUGGGGGGUCAUGGAAGCUCCCUGGAGGAGGUGUAUCUGGACAACAGGGAAAGAAAGGAGCUGGAGAAGAGAGGCAGAAAAAUUGGGUCCUGGUUCAGGUGAAGUUUUCCCAGCUGGAACAAUGACAAUGUCAAUAUCCCACAAAGGCGGCUUCUGUUUAUUUAGCGCUUGCUGUGUUCCCACAAGUCUUCCUCUACCUGCCCUCUCCCCAGCCCUCAUCUCACUCUCCCAGAGCCCCAGAGCACACCAAUGGACACCAUCACCUCUCGGGCAGAUCAGCACAGAGACGUGAAGCACACAGGCAGCUGCUGGAAAAAUAACAAGGAAUUGCAAUGGUGUGCCCCUCCGUUGAAUGCAAGCUCUCUUCUGCCUUCUCACCUUGGGCAAGUUACCUUCCGUUCCAGGCCUCGGUUUCUCCAUGUGUGAAAUGAAAGGGCUGGAGAGAAAUCUCUCACUAUUCCCCAAUCUACAUUCAUUGUAUCCCAAACCUUCUAAUAUCUGUUCAACGAAGUGUACCAAAUCUCAGCUAUUGGACUGAGACUCAGGGGUCUAUCUGACUUGAAUUGAAAAUGCAAAUUACUGAAGAGGGAGGGAGGGAGGAGUGCUGAAGAUUGAAUGGAUUUAUCAGAUUUCCUUCUCCUAUGGCCCAGAUGCAGGCCUAGUCCAGGCGAUUCCCCUGGCUCAGAAUCUGCCAGGCUCAAGCAUUCAUUGACAGCCUACUAUGUACCAAUCCUGGGCUGAGUCCCAACCCGGGGAUGACUUAGAGGAGGCCAGGAUGUGGCCUCAUGUUCUGGUUGCUCUCACAUUUAAACAGGCUAAACCCACUUUGCAUUGUAUGUUAGGGGUGGUGCUUGUGGGACAAAGGGGGCUGUCAGAACAUUCUGGCUGCCACAUGAAGUUGACUUUGCCAGGACAGACUGGGUUGUGGGGGAAGGCAGCUACUGUAAUAAUUUGGCCAAGAAGUGGGCUGAGCAGGAGCAGGGCUGAGGGAGGGAGAGAGGGAAUGAGUAAGAAAGGCCCAGGGUACUGAUUUGACUGGGACUUCAGGGACAGGUGUGGGGCGAGAGGGAUGCUGGAAGUGAAGGAGGGAAAGUGCAGAGGCUUUCUGGGGAUUAAUAGGCAAUGAUCUCUAUGAGGGCGUGGUGAGUAGGCCCCAAACAUCCGGGGACUUCCCUGCCUGCCAUCCCUCUGUCUCUCUCUUCCUUUCCUACUGCCCAGGGCCUGGCCCUGCUGCACAUGCCCUGCCCUGGCCCCCAGAGUCCCCUUCUUUCCUGGCUGGGAGAUUAAGACUCUGCUGUGCCUACAGCAUUCUCAACCUCAAGUCAAGGUGGCCCUUUGGAGCCCAGGAGGCCACAUGGCUGAGUCAGGGCUGAGUCACCACCCCCCAAGGGCCUUGCCAUUUCCUGUGGAGAAGCCUCUUUACUGGCAGGGUUCUGUGCUCAGGUGGGAAAUCUGGAGAGGUCGGGGGCAGGGCUUCAUCUACUUUUACCCACUAACUCCCUAGACACUCCACUGGGGGUAGAGGGUUCCUACACGUAUGAUGAUCAAAACAUGUGUCUGUGCACAUGGGCCCUUAUGCAUUCACAGGUGUUUGCCUAUGCGACUGCAUGUCUGAAUGUUUUAUGUAUAUUUGAAUAUAGAUAGGGAACAAAUAUUUAUGGAGCACAUAUUAUGUGUGCAGCCUUUUACGUGUGUUACUUUCUAAUAACCCUAGGAGGCGUAGAUGCCUCCCAGGCUAUGGUUGAAAAUACUGACAUGCCCAAGGUGCAGGAGGUAUGAAUACCUCCCCACUGUGGCUGGUAACACCCCAGGUUUCUCCAACUCCACAGUGAUGGGCUUUCCUCCAGAGCCGGUUCCUCAGGGGCAGGAGUGAGAAGUGUGUGUGUCUGUAUUUAUCCUUCCACCAGUGGCUGUGAUUGGUCCUGUGGUUGGAAACAGGGUCAAGUAAGGCCCUUGGGAGUAGCUGGGUGAAUGGACGAUGGUGGCGUCCACCUUGGACAUGGCACAUACUUCUGGUCGGGUAUCCACGUGGCUGGCCAACCCGGACCUGCCCUAUUAGGGGCCAUCGCCCUCAUGGCUCAUCAGUGCUGAGUUUCAUUGCCUUCUUCGUAAUGCAAUACUAAUGGAUACAGGCAUGUAUCUGCCGUACACUAGAUGAAAUGUGGUUAUUUGCUCAGGUAGAAAUAAAGACUAAAAUACCAAAGUGGG
rnacentral:lncRNA from 1 species